rnacentral:sRNA from 1 species
UACUUUUUCCUACUCUUCUCUUCCUUUCAUUAAAGUAAUAAAAGAUAUAAGUUAAUUUAAAAAUACUAAAGAACUGAACCUUAUUCUUGACCUUUACAGACUACUAUUUUCUAACUGGCAGGCCCUAGCAUGUUUUUCAUUAUUGAUGUAAAACACAUAUUGAAGGAGGAUGGAAACAGACUGUGUCAAAGUUUAACACCCAAUUAUUUUAUUUACAUAAUUUUAUUAGGGGAUAGUGUUGUUGACUUGAAAAAUAUCUCUUCUGUUGUAAGAUUCAGCAGGGUCUUUAUCUUUUUAAAAGUAGCACAUUUUUUGUUUUCUUUAUUUUGCAGUAAACAUAAAAGAGAGCAAGAUAAUUCUCGAUCUUCAUCGUCUUCAGCAUCGCCUUCUUCUCCCAGUUCUCGAGAAGAAAAGGAGAGUAAGAAGGAAAGAGAAGAAGAAUUUAAAACUCACCAUGAAAUGAAAGAAUACUCAGGCUUUGCAGGAGUUAGCCGACCACGAGGAACCUUUCAUGACGACAGAGAUGAUGGUGUGGAUUAUUGGGCCAAAAGAGGAAGAGGUCGUGGUACUUUUCAACGUGGCAGAGGGCGCUUUAACUUCAAAAAAUCAGGUAGCAGUCCUAAAUGGACUCAUGACAAAUACCAAGGGGAUGGGAUUGUUGAAGAUGAAGAAGAGACCAUGGAAAAUAAUGAAGAAAAGAAGGACAGACGCAAGGAAGAAAAGGAAUAAUAAAUAUGAAGUAAGAUUACAACAGAGCAGAACUUGCACCCACCAUUUUUUUUACCUGAUUUUUGUUUUCAAAUAAGAAUGUAAGCAUUUUACUUAAAUUUUACUGUUUGCAAGUAGUCUAUAGAAAUUUUGUUUUAAGUCUUCAAAUAUCUUGAGAAAUAGUAGACUGUAUGUUGAAAAUUGUACUGAAAUAAAGUAGAAAAUUGUUACGUACCAUAUUUGUAACUAUCAACUUUUAAAACUUAACGUUUUUGUUACAUGCAUUGUAAUUCUGAUUUGUCUAUAAGAUAUGGUCAAGUACAGCUCUGUGAAAGUUCUGAUUCUCUUCCUUCCCUGUUUGUCAAUGUUUUAUUCUGAAGUAA